rnacentral:rRNA from 1 species
AGCUCCAAUAGCGUAUAUUAAAGUUGUUGCGGUUAAAAAGCUCGUAGUUGGAUUUCUGUCGAGAACGCGCGGUCCACGCUUUGCGUGAGUAUCUGUGCCGGUCUUGGCAUCCUCCGGAGGAUCGUUUCUGCGCUUGAUUGCGUGGAGCGGAACUUCGGACUUUUACUUUGAGGAAAUUAGAGUGUUCACGGCAGGCAAACGCCUUGAAUACAUUAGCAUGGAAUAAUAACAUAGGACCUUAGCCCUAUUUUGUUGGUUUCUAGAGCUGAGGUAAUGAUUAAUAGGGAUAAUUGGGGGCAUUCGUAUUAACACG